AAACCCCCUCGCCGAAAGACUAAGGUUUCCUGAUCAACGCUAAUCGGAUCAGGGUCAGUCGGGUCCUAAGGCUCAGCCGAACGGCGAUGCCGAUGGCAGAAACGGUUAAUAUUCCGUUACUACCUUCAGGAGUGACGUGGAGACGCAGUAGUGACAGUGCCGCCAUCUGACGGAAUAGAUGGUUGAAGGGUGUAGGAGUCGAUCAUGGCAGGCAAAUCCACCAUGAGAUCCGAACCUGACAGUAUGCCGCGUCCUUCGGGACAAGGCAAUAGUGCGCGUAAGCAUGCUGCCGAGAAAAUCCGCUAAACUUAAUCCUGCAGGUACCCGUACCGCAAACGGACACACGUAGUCGGGUUGAAUAUACUAAGGCGCUUGAGUGAUUCACGGUUAAGGAACUAGGCAAAUUGACCCUGUAACUUCGGGAUAAAGGGUCCCAACGAGAGUUGGGCGCAGAGAAUAGGUCCAGGCAACUGUUUAACAAAAACACAGGGCUGUGCCAAAUUGAAAGAUCACGUAUACAGCCUGACACCUGCCCGGUGCUGGAAGGUUAAGAGGAGAUGUCAUCGCAAGAGAAGCAUUGAAUUGAAGCCCCAGUAAACGGCGGCCGUAACUAUAACGGUCCUAAGGUAGCGAAAUUCCUUGUCGGGUAAGUUCCGACCUGCACGAAUGGUGUAAUGAUCUGGACACUGUCUCAACCGUGAGCUCAGUGAAAUUGUAGUAUCGGUGAAGAUGCCGAUUACCCGCGAUGGGACGAAAAGACCCCGUGAACCUUUACUAUAGCUUAACAUUGAAUUUGGGUAAUUGAUGUGUAGGAUAGGCCGGAGACUUUGAAGCGCAGACGCCAGUUUGUGUGGAGUCGCUGUUGAAAUACGGCCCUUUGAUUAUUUGAGUUCUAACCCGUUGUAACGGGGACACUGUUUGGUGGGUAGUUUGACUGGGGUGGUCGCCUCCAAAAGUGUAACGGAGGCUUCUAAAGGUGCCCUCAGGACGAUUGGUAACCGUCCGUAGAGUGUAAUGGCAUAAGGGCGCUUGACUGGGAGACAUACAAGUCGAUCAGGUAGGAAACUAGAGCAUAGUGAUCCGGUGUUUCCGCAUGGAAGGGACAUCGCUCAAAGGAUAAAAGGUACUCCGGGGAUAACAGGCUGAUC
rnacentral:rRNA from 1 species